UGUAAAAUGGGGCUGAGAGGGCGGGUUUUUUUUUAAAAAUUCAUUAAAUGGAAAAAUCCGCAAAUGUUAAUUCUGGUAGAUUUCUUAGAAAUUACAUCAGAGGAGCAUGCUUGGUCUUCCCCCCCUCAUUAGGCCUCAGUGACAGGUACUUGAACAACUGAGCCCCUAAUGUGCAUGCUCCCCCACCCCUGAAGCCAGUCUCUGCCCUUCUCUUCCCUCCUCUUGCCCCUGGAAGCUGAUCGCCACCAACUGGCCUCUGGGUGGAUUUGGCCAAUGGAAGCACCGGUAGAGGGAAGAGAGUGAGGUUAGGAUAUUUCUUCCUGCUGUCUCCCUGCUUCCCUGCAGAGAGUGUGAAGAAAUGACCCUGAAAAGCCUCUGGCAGAGGAUUCUUCUUUCAGGAUGGUGUCUCCUGCUCAGCGGCCCAUCCUCCUCCCCUGGGCUCAAGCUCUCACUCCAGUAACACUCCUUCCUCCUUCUCCAUCUUCAGGGGGAGGUUUGCCAGUCGGUGAGAACCCUUUGUUAAGCUGUGUAACCUCUGUGCAUAGUUUCCUCAUCACCAAAGUCAGAAAAAGUAUGUAACUGAAGGACUGAUUGUAAGGCUGGGAUGAGAGAAUCCAUGUGAUCAGCCCUCACCAACAGGUGCUGCCCAGUUCAUGAGUGCUGCUGCUGUCCUGCCCAAGUACCCAGCUUGCAGAGUGCCAGAGUUAGAGUCCCAGGGGUGUUCUCCACAGCUGCAUGCUUGAUCCAGGCCUAUCAGCAUUGUCUUUGAAUAUUAGCAAAUAAUGGAACAUGGGCCAAGGGUGAACCAUGACGAAUUCGUGUUCCAGCAGCCCUGCUUCUUUAGAAUUGACAGUCUGGCUUCGUGGUUAAUUCACAGCAUCUGAGGAAUACAUCAGAAGAGGGUGAUACUGUGGCAUGAUGGUACCAGGAUUCCAAGUUCAUUCCAGAUCUCAGCUUGAGCACCAACCCUGAGGCCUGCAGCUGGAUCCCGUAAGUAUUUCCACAACACCCUGUACUUUUCCUACAUGCACCCCAGCAUCUUCAUACAAUAGGUGCUUAAUAAAUUGUCCAAUGACUGAAUCCUCACAAUAUCUCUAGAGAAGAUGGCAAGACGCAGAGAGGAGGAGUCACACCUGAAGCCACACAGCUGACAUCAGAGCCAAAGCAUGAGCCUCAGUCUCUCUGACCCAGAGCUACCACCCUUGCUGCCUUGGGAAGAAGGAAGCCCCCUCCUAUUCUAUCCUUGAGCUGCCUUGGCAAGGAGGGGCCCCUUGCUGCCGCCAUCCUCACAGGACACCAUCCACAUGAGGGGAUGGUGAGCUCCACUUCCACCUUUUCUUCAUGUCUGCUCUUUAAACUGCACACGUUGAUUCAUUCAUUCAUUCAUUCCCUUGAUAUUACCAUUCAUUUAUUCAUCAAGUAUUUAUUGAGCAUAUUUAUCUGCAUGGCAUUGUGCUAAUCAUAAUCAUCAUAUUCACCACUGCUGAGCAGAACAGUCAGGGUGCUGCCCUCAGGGAGUUACCAUGUAGUAAAUGAGACAGACGGAAUCACACAGAGGAAUGCGCGUCUGACUGUAGCCUGACUGGAGUGCCAUGAAGGAGACCAAGAGGGCAGGGUGAUGGAGAAAGCACAGGUUGAAGUUCUCGUCUUCCUUCCAACAGAAUCUCAGUUGCACUCAGUUGUUGCCUCCCUCGAACCUCCCUUGAGCCUCAGGAGAAACCACCCUGAUUCAGAGGUCCAGAGAAGACCUGACUAGCCCAAGGUAAUUCCGUCCCCUUGCCAGAGUGGCUUGGGCAGGGACACAGGACCUAUUUCAAUGAGGCCAAUGAGACAAAGGUAUUUCUGCUGGGGAGGCAGGGGCUUCAAGCAAAGGGUCUUGCUUGAAAGAGCCACCGGAAGAGGGCUCUCUCCUUCCUUAGGGUGUCACCGUGUCUGGAUGCGAUGCCUGGAAGUGCUACAGCCCCUCGCGCCCAGCCUGAAGACGAAACCAACCCCAAACACAGCCAAGCAGAGAGAUGGAAAGAACCAGGACCCUAAUUACACCACUGAGCAGCUAUAGCAACCAGUUCCAGAGCCCUCUGACUUCCCACCAAAGUGAGAUGAUAAGAUACUGUUUAAUUUCUCUCUUUUAUAGCCAAACACACCAAAAUUGACAGAGAUGUGAGCCAUACCUACUACUGUUACUGCUCCAUCCCUAGUUCCAACCACAGUGCAUGGUACAUGGUAGAGAGCCAACAAACACUUGAAGAAUGAAUGGUGCAUACUGAGUGGGAUUUUCCAGAGGCAGACCUGGAGACAAGGCUUCAAGUGCAUGUGUUGUAUUAAGGAAAUGCUCCCAGGGGACAAUAGCAGAGUGGCAGAAAUGGGACAAGGGGGCCAGGGAGCCAAGAACAGAGAAUCAAUCGUCUAAACAGAGCCCCCUGUUUUUUGUUUCACCUGGGAGUAGCUUCUACCUGAUCCCCAGGGGAACUCUGGGAUGUCAGUGAUGGCUCAGCAUUGCCCCUGAGGCAAGGGAGCUGGGCUUUCCUAAUCCCCCACUCCUCAGUCUCUGGCUAAGCGCUGUCCCCAGGGGACUUAAUCACCCAAGCACUUCCCCAAGAGUGGCAUCUGCUGACCACUGGAGGCACUGGUACAGUGAAGCGACAGAAGGGAUCAGAGAGGGUCCAGGUGGGGCACAGCAAUGUGGCUGAAUAAUAACUAUAUUAAUUCAUAUAGUUAAUUCUCAAGCAAUGGCAAAGUGUAGGCAGCUUCUUGUCUGCAAACGUUUCCACGAUAUCUCUCCUGCAGCCAGACGGGUCUUUUCCUGCCACCUACACAGAAUGGCCAUGGAGCAUCCCCAACUCUUAUUAAAAUGGAAAAAAAAAAAAAGCCUUUGCAUUUCAAUCUAUUAUUGCACUUUAUGACUCAUCUUCAGGUUCUCUCUGCAAAACAUUGAAAGCCAGAUCAUAAUUUGAUGAUGAAAUAUUGAUUAUGCAUUUGUAUGCAGAGGUCUAUACUAUAUAGAUAGAAUUCCCACCCUGUAGUAUCUUCUAUUUUAAGUCAGUAUGAAGAUGGAUGUUCCCCCAGGCAAAUUUUGAUAAGAUACUUGUGUCAAUACAAAAACAGAUUAAUGCCAAUGUGAAUCAAUACCCACUUAUUGGUUUGGGUUGCUUCUUCUCCACGCAGCAGCUGGCUCCAAGAGGGGUUUCCAAACACCAGCGGCUCCCAGCCAAUCUGUAUAUUUCUUUAUUUAAAUCAUGAGAGUGGGAAGUGGCAAGGGAAUGGUGGGUUGGCAGGGGGCUGCCCACGCCCACUUCCAAAUUGAGAAGCGAAUGAAAAUAAAACAAACGCAACUUGUCAACAAAUCUGGGAGAAGCUUUAUUACCAUCAUUAGCAGUAUGCUUGUCCUCUGCUGCUUCCAAAAAGAAUAAACUUAAAAUGACGGAAGAAGAGCGGUCUCCAUCCUUGCUUGGUUCUCAGCGUACAGCAGGGACUGGGCUUAUCUUGACUGUGCAUCUGCUGUGUUUCCUGCCCAGCUCCCACUGCCACCUGCAAUGCCCUAUAUUUAGUGCUUCUUUAAAAUCUCAUUUAUCGUCUCCCAUCCCCACCAAAAAGUAAGGUCCAAAACCACGGAGGAUUUUUUUUUUUUUUUGCGGGGGCGGGGGUGGUAUUUUUUGUUCACUGCUGAAUUUCCAAUGUCUGGAUGUUGAAUUAAUUUCUUUCUGCUUCAUUCAUUCAUCUAACAAAUUGAGCGACUGCUAUGUGACAGGGCCCUCCAGGUUCUUGGGAUAUAUCAGUGAACACAACAGACAUUCUAGUGGGUGAUAGGGCAAUAGAAAUAAUUAAUAAGUGCCGUAUGGAAAACAUUAGAAGGCAAUAAUUGUGGCUGGGUGCGGUGGCUCAUGCCUGUAAUCCCAGCACUUUGGGAGGCUGAGGUGGCCGGAUCACCUGAGGUUAGGAGUUCGAGACCAGCCUGACCAACAUGGUGAAACACCGUCUCUACUAAAAAUACAAAAAAUUAGCCAGGCGUAGCCCAGCUACUCGGGAGGCUGAAGCAGGAGAAUCACUCACACCAUUGCACUCCAACUUGGGCAAUAAGAGCGAGACUCCAUCUCAAAGAAAAAAAUGCCAGUAAUUGCUAUGAGGGAGUGGAAAGCGAUCAUGGUAAGAAGGACUGGGUGGGCUGAGGAGAGGAGUUCUAAUUUUAAAUAGGGGGGUCAGGAUCAGCCUCACUGAGAAGGUAAGUGUGAGCAAAGCUGUGCAGGAGGUCAGGGAAUGAGGUAUGUAGCUAUGCAGGGGUGGGCGUUAGGAAUUUCCAGACACAUAGA